CCUCCGCUGGUGGAGUAAGAGCGCCGAUUCGGGGAUCGAUUGUCGCGUCCCGAUGGGACGCGAUAAAUCGAUCCCCGAGAGGUCGAUUUCUACCCGCCAAUUCAGGCGGGUAGUGUAGACCUAGCCAGUUUAAACAAGCUUUAAAUUAAAUUCAAACCACCUUCAUUUAAAUCACUUCAAUUAAAGGAACCAGGUUAAAACCAGUUUAAGAGGGUUCACACAGGGGUUUGCACUGGUUCAACUAAAUCGAUUUAAAAGCAGAUAUCCAUUAAACUGCUCCAAGGUCUAACUCAAGGCUUCCCAUUCCUUUUUCCUCCUGGCACUGGGGGCGAAGGUGUGGGGAAGGGGGAUGCAGCAGGAACUGUUGAGGGAUUUCAUAUAUUUCACACGUGGCUCGGAGUUUGCUAAGCUCCUGGAGUUCUAUGUGGCAGGGGGGUUAAGUUUGCCCUAUGGAAGUCUUGCUGCCUGGGCGCCCAGAUGUCAGGACAGGUGACUAGCUCGGGACAGGAUGGAGCUGGGGAACCAGCGAGCUUCGCAUUCCUGCUGCGGGUUUACUUCUCAGUUGCUACGUGGAGUGAAUCAGGCUCCAGCGGGAGCUGGAUGGGAGGCGGUAACUCGGCCCAUGGCUCACCCCGGGAGAGGGGAUUGGGGCAGCGGGAUCACUGCCUUCUUAUGCCCGAUCCGUCGCUCCGAGAAGGGGGAGGCUGGGCUGGGAGACUCGGGGCUGGAGCAUGCCAAGGAGUUGCAUGGCCAGACCCUCUCCCCCAGGCAGGGCUGGGCCCGGCGGGGGGAACCUCCUCGCCGUCCCGGGGGGAGGCGCGCAGCCUCUCCAGGCGCAAUGCGCCCCGCGGAGCGCACGGGAGUGGCCGGCCGGGGGCUCUCUCGGCUCCCCGGCCCCGGGAGGCAGCUCUGCAAAGUUUGCAGCCGGCCUGGCCAGAGCUCGCCGCCCCCGCCGGGCCUUUUGCACACGAGUCCCCAGCGCUUCACACGGGCCGCGGCCGGGGCCAGAUAAAGAGGCAGUUGCGAGCCCGGCGCGGGGGGUGGCUGGAGCCGGGGGACCCUCGGAGGGGAGCUGGAGCCGGAGCCGAGCGCGCCCCGGCAGGUGGGGAUGGCGGACGGGGAGGAGAAGCGGCACCUGCUGGAGGAGCCCGGAGACAGGUCCUAUCUGAGCGUCUCCGAGAAGAACUUUCGCAAUUCCAUGCUCAAGUACGUUCCAGACAUGUCCUCCAUUGAGCUGGGCCUCCCGGGGAACCAGCAUUGUCAUUCCAACCGGGCUGCUGGCAGCCACUACAGUUCCGAAAAGCAGCGGGCUCGAAGGAAACUCUACGUCGCAUCCGUGAUCUGCCUGGUCUUUAUGACCGGAGAAGUCGUAGGGGGAUACCUGGCCCACAGCCUGGCCAUCAUGACAGACGCAGCUCACCUGCUGACGGACUUCGCCAGCAUGAUGAUCAGUCUGUUUUCCCUGUGGAUGGCCUCGCGGCCGGCUACUAAAACCAUGAACUUUGGCUGGCACCGAGCAGAGAUCCUGGGGGCCCUGCUCUCAGUGCUGUCGAUCUGGGUGGUGACCGGAGUCUUGGUUUACCUGGCAGUGGAGCGUCUGCUCUCAAACAACUACGAGAUCGAAGGGGGCGCCAUGCUCAUCACCUCUGCCUGCGCUGUGGCAGUGAAUAUCAUAAUGGGAGUCACUCUUCACCAGUCGGGUCAUGGGCACAGCCACCAGGGCCAUACCCACCAUGGCCACAGCAAGCAGCGGAACGCCAGCGUCCAGGCCGCCUUUAUCCAUGUGGUCGGGGACCUGCUGCAGAGCGUUGGCGUCCUGGUAGCUGCAUAUAUCAUAUAUUUCAAGGUACGGGCUCUGUUGCUAAGAGUGUCUUGGGCACGGAAGGCUGGUAAGUCCCCGCUGCGUGAUGUCCGGGGUGUCUUUCGUUUGUUGUGGCACGGGAGUUGGAGCAUGACGCGUGCUGUCCCGGUUGGAGGAAGGGAGAGGUACUCCUGUGGGAGGAAGGUGUGGUCUGAGCACAGAACUGGGAGCCAGGAACUCUUGCGUUCUUAUCUUUGCUCUGCCGGUAAUUCCUUCUCUAUCCUUGAGAAAGUCACUUAACCUCUCUGCCUUCGUUUCCCUGAAUGCCUUGGCCAAGGACGCAGGGGAAGUUAGUGGCAGAACACAGAUGAUAUAUGGAUUUAUUUUUUUUAAUUGCAUUUCACUUACUUCCCCCACCACAGAAAUGCAGCCACCUCUGGAAUGGCGUGCAGCAGCUGCCUAGCAGCACUCCACAACCACGUAGGAUAGGAAGUGAGGGAUUCUCUGUGAACUUGAACCUUCAGGGGAAUGCAGGGAUGUACUGUCCAAGUUGGAACUUAGCUGAGACACUAAUGCUGAUGCCCCAGCUCUGUGCUAUAGGACCCUUAUUGUCCACACUCGGUCAGGAUCUCUGCUUCUCUUCUCAUCAGAAAGGAGGCCAGGUGGUCCGGUGACACUAUGCUGGGGCAUUGGGUCAACACUCAGGCCAGGUCUAGACUGAAUUUUUUUGCCAGCAUACUAAUGUCACUUAGGGAUGUGAUUUUAUUUGCAACAUGCUUAUACUGCUCAGAGUUUCACAUGUACAGUUAUGCCGGCAAAAAAGUGGGUAAGAGAUCCUGAGACAAGCACUUUUUUGACACUCUAAACUGCGUCUACACGAGGACGGUUUGCCAGUAGAGCUACACUGGCAAACCCUUGCUGGUGCAGACUUGCUCAUACUCAGAGGAAAGAGCGCAACGUUUUGAAUUAUUGGCACCUGGCCGUUCCCUGGAGGCCUCCCAUCCAAGCAGUGACCGGGCUGCACCUCUGUUUAACUCGUGAUCCACUCAGCGGUCACUACACACGGUGCAAUUGCAAAAGGAAAAAUGGAAUUUUCAUUUGGAACGAAGCUCAGGAAGGAAACCGUUGAGCAUUGUGUAAUGAGAUUACACGGGCAGUUGUUUGAAUAGGAGGCAUUUGUGAGCUUUAUAUUAAAUAUACCGCGUAACAGCUUUCCUCCUCCUACCAGCCAGAGUACAAAUACGUAGACCCCAUCUGUACCUUCCUGUUCUCAAUCCUGGUCCUUGGAACGACGCUGACCAUCCUCCGGGAUGUCGUCCUAGUGCUGAUGGAAGAUGAAAACGCCGAUGCACAGACCAUCCUGAAGGAGGCUAGUUC